CCGAGUUACAACUCCCAAACCCCUGUGAACAUACCACUUGUUGCCUCGGCGGAUCAGCCCGCUCCCCGGUAAAACGGGACGGCCCGCCAGAGGACCCCUAAACUCUGUUUCUAUAUGUAACUUCUGAGUAAAACCAUAAAUAAAUCA
rnacentral:misc_RNA from 1 species